rnacentral:rRNA from 1 species
UACGGAGGGGGCUAGCGUUGUUCGGAAUUACUGGGCGUAAAGCGCGCGUAGGCGGCUUUGUAAGUUAGAGGUGAAAGCCCGGAGCUCAACUCCGGAAUUGCCUUUAAGACUGCAUCGCUAGAAUCAUGGAGAGGUGAGUGGAAAUUCCGAGUGUAGAGGUGAAAUUCGUAGAUAUUCGGAGGAACACCAGUGGCGAAGGCGGACAUCCUGGAC